UACAGAGGGGGCGAGCGUUGUUCGGAAUUACUGGGCGUAAAGGCGCGUAGGCGGCCUCUUAAGUCGAACGUGAAAUCCCCGGGCUCAACCCGGGAACUGCGUCCGAUACUGGGGGGCUUGAAUCCGGGAGAGGGAUGUGGAAUUCCAGGUGUAGCGGUGAAAUGCGUAGAUAUCUGGAGGAACACCGGUGGCGAAGGCGGCAUCCUGGACCCGGUAUUGACGCUGAGGCGCGAAAGCGUGGGGAUCAAACAGG
rnacentral:rRNA from 1 species